GGUGGCAGCACAGCGGGUAAGGAGCUGGGCUUGUGACCCAAAGGUCGCAGGUUCGAUUCCCGGGCAGGACACUG
rnacentral:tRNA from 1 species